UUUAAUGAGAGUUUGAUCCUGGCUCAGGACGAACGCUGGCGGCGUGCCUAAUACAUGCAAGUAGAACGCUGAGGUUUGGUGUUUACACUAGACUGAUGAGUUGCGAACGGGUGAGUAACGCGUAGGUAACCUGCCUCAUAGCGGGGGAUAACUAUUGGAAACGAUAGCUAAUACCGCAUAAGAGUAAUUAACACAUGUUGGUUAUUUAAAAGGAGCAAUUGCUUCACUGUGAGAUGGACCUGCGUUGUAUUAGCUAGUUGGUGAGGUAAAGGCUCACCAAGGCGACGAUACAUAG
rnacentral:rRNA from 1 species